GUCCUAACGCUUCUCAGGUGGUUAAUUAAAAAGGCAGCUCAAGCCAGAGUGUGGAGCUCCAGUCUGAGGAAAAGACACAGGAAAGCUGCCAGUGUGAGCUCACUGAGGGGAUUGAAAUCACAACAAGAAUUAUGGGAAAGAUGUUGCAUCAUCUGUCUGAGUGACUAACAGGCUCGUCUGACCCCUGUUGAAGAGAAGAUUUUCAAUCUGCAGGUGGCCCGACUAUUUCUCAGCAGGCCACGAUAAAUCACAGAACCUUCCGUUUACCACUGUGACUGAAUUCCCAAACCAGGAUCAAUGCAGCUCAUUUCUGGGACCUGAAAACAAGUGUACAUGAAAGAGUGUCAAGAAAGGAAAAAGGUCAUGCUUUAAUUCACCUUGGUUCUGCACAGACUGCUGCCUGCAAUAAUUUCCUAGCCUGUAAUGAUGAUAUUAUGCCAGCUCCGCAGCCGUAUGGUACUGUUUCCAUUUAUUCCCUAUUCCAUAUGAAAUGAGCCUGUACAUGUAAAUUAAGGAGAUCACAAAAACAGGAGGUAUUUUAAAAAUAAUAAACACAAACUCGAAUCGGCUAUAUUUCCAAAAGGACUACUCCUAAUCAGGAACGCACACGUUACUUUUCCAAGCUCCAUUACAUUAAUGUCUCAUUCUUGUGCCAUAAACAUCUAAAUCUGCUAUGUUUUGCAUAAAAAGAAAAUCGUCACCAUUUGCUUGUAUUGAAUAAAAUAAAUGUUUGUGGUCAUGAAUA